rnacentral:rRNA from 1 species
GCGGCGGACGGGUGAGUAACGCGUGGGUAACCUACCCCAAAGUCCGGGAUAACAGCGGGGAACCGCUGCUAAUACCGGAUGUCUUUACCUUGGGGCAUCUUGAGGUAAAGAAAGGUAACGCUUUGGGAUGGGCCCGCGUCCCAUUAGCUAGUUGGUGAGGUAACGGCUCACCAAGGCGACGAUGGGUAGCCGGCCUGAGAGGGUGGACGGCCACACUGGGACUGAGACACGGCCCAGACUCCUACGGGAGGCAGCAGUGGGGAAUAUUGCGCAAUGGACGGAAGUCUGACGCAGCGACGCCGCGUGAGCGAUGAAGGUCUUCGGAUCGUAAAGCUCUGUCCUUGGGGAAGAAGGCGAAAGCUUGACGGUACCCAAGAAGAAAGCCCCGGCUAACUACGUGCCAACAGCCGCGGUAAUACGUAGGGGGCGAGCGUUGUCCGGAAUUACUGGGCGUAAAGGGUGCGUAGGCGGCCCUUUAAGUCGGAUGUGAAAGCCCGCG